GACGAACGCUGGCGGCGUGCUUAACACAUGCAAGUCGAACGGUGAACGAGGGAGCUUGCUCCCUCCGGAUCAGUGGCGAACGGGUGAGUAACACGUGAGCAAUCUGCCCCGAACUCUGGGAUAAGCGUUGGAAACGACGUCUAAUACCGGAUACGACGCGGGAGGGCAUCCUCUCCGCGUGGAAAGAACUUCGGUUCGGGAUGAGCUCGCGGCCUAUCAGCUUGUUGGUGGGGUAACGGCUCACCAAGGCGACGACGGGUAGCCGGCCUGAGAGGGUGACCGGCCACACUGGGACUGAGACACGGCCCAGACUCCUACGGGAGGCAGCAGUGGGGAAUAUUGCACCAUGGGCGCAAGCCUGAUGCAGCAACGCCGCGUGAGGGACGACGGCCUUCGGGUUGUAAACCUCUUUUAGCAGGGAAGAAGCGAAAGUGACGGUACCUGCAGAAAAAGCACCGGCUAACUACGUG
rnacentral:rRNA from 1 species